rnacentral:snoRNA from 2 species
AGACCAUGAUGAGGGCACUUUCUUAGUAGCUCCUUGAACCUUUCCCAAGUUUCAUAUCGUCCUCUUGUGAGUAU